UACGAAGGGGGCUAGCGUUGUUCGGAAUUACUGGGCGUAAAGCGCACGUAGGCGGACUAUUAAGUCAGGGGUGAAAUCCCGGGGCUCAACCCCGGAACUGCCUUUGAUACUGGUAGUCUCGAGUCCGAGAGAGGUGAGUGGAAUUCCGAGUGUAGAGGUGAAAUUCGUAGAUAUUCGGAGGAACACCAGUGGCGAAGGCGGCUUACUGGUCCGGUUCUGACGCUGAGGCGCGAAAGCGUGGGGAGCAAACAGG
rnacentral:rRNA from 1 species